AUUGAACGCUGGCGGCAGGCCUAACACAUGCAAGUCGAGCGGUAGAGAGAAGCUUGCUUCUCUUGAGAGCGGCGGACGGGUGAGUAAUGCCUAGGAAUCUGCCUGGUAGUGGGGGAUAACGUUCGGAAACGGACGCUAAUACCGCAUACGUCCUACGGGAGAAAGCAGGGGACCUUCGGGCCUUGCGCUAUCAGAUGAGCCUAGGUCGGAUUAGCUAGUUGGUGAGGUAAUGGCUCACCAAGGCGACGAUCCGUAACUGGUCUGAGAGGAUGAUCAGUCACACUGGAACUGAGACACGGUCCAGACUCCUACGGGAGGCAGCAGUGGGGAAUAUUGGACAAUGGGCGAAAGCCUGAUCCAGCCAUGCCGCGUGUGUGAAGAAGGUCUUCGGAUUGUAAAGCACUUUAAGUUGGGAGGAAGGGUUGUAGAUUAAUACUCUGCAAUUUUGACGUUACCGACAGAAUAAGCACCGGCUAACUCUGUGCCAGCCGCCGCAGUAA
rnacentral:rRNA from 1 species